CCAGAGUACAGUAUCAGCUGAGCUGACCUUACUCUGAGGACUAACUCUUUUGCUGGAAGCGGUUUCUGAUUUACAGCUCUUGGUUUCUCCCAGACAUGUUGGUGGGAGAGAUUUUGGUUUUUAAGGGGUUGUUAGAUGGAGUAAAUUUUCUUUUUUUUUUUUUUUUUUUUUAACUAAAAAGGGGUCACAGAAUUUCAGCAGUUCUCUGAUUUUUAUAUUUUAUUCCUCUUCCUAUCCAAUCCCUGCCUUUUGAGUCCAGGUGGGAGAAAACUGGUUGUCCUGGAUGUUUGAAAAGUUGGUCGUUGUCAUGGUGUGUUACUUCAUCCUAUCUAUCAUUAACUCCAUGGCACAAAGUUAUGCCAAACGAAUCCAGCAGCGGUUGAACUCAGAGGAGAAAACUAAAUAAGUAGAGAAAGUUUUAAACUGCAGAAAUUGGAGUGGAUGGGUUCUGCCUUAAAUUGGGAGGACUCCAAGCCGGGAAGGAAAAUUCCCUUUUCCAACCUGUAUCAAUUUUUACAACUUUUUUCCUGAAAGCAGUUUAGUCCAUACUUUGCACUGACAUACUUUUUCCUUCUGUGCUAAGGUAAGGUAUCCACCCUCGAUGCAAUCCACCUUGUGUUUUCUUAGGGUGGAAUGUGAUGUUCAGCAGCAAACUUGCAACAGACUGGCCUUCUGUUUGUUACUUUCAAAAGGCCCACAUGAUACAAUUAGAGAAUUCCCACCGCACAAAAAAAGUUCCUAAGUAUGUUAAAUAUGUCAAGCUUUUUAGGCUUGUCACAAAUGAUUGCUUUGUUUUCCUAAGUCAUCAAA
rnacentral:lncRNA from 10 species